GCCAUCUUUACCCUCUGUUACAAAUGCCACUCCAGAAAAGAAAGAAAACAAAUGUCCUGUCGGGAUUUUGUUGAAUUCUUGAUGUGUCAUCAAUGGGAACACAUUAAAUUCUGAAGCCAAAAACACGAGGCAUCAUGACCUAGUAAUCUUCAUAAGGAGCACUGCAGCACAAAUCAUCCUUCUCCUUUGGCAGACUGUAGUUCGAGAUUCCCACUAGUCGUCUGUACUGUUGUGGUAGUUUCCAGGGAGAGACCUUUGCCUCUCCCCCCCAGGAGAUAUGGAGCCCCAGGAGAGUCUGGGAGUGGAGGGCGACUCGGGUGUGCUGGGGGUGCUGGUGCCGAGCCCACGGAGUGAAGCGGUGACCCAUGACCUGGAGGAAUUGUCUCUGCAGCCCACUCAGAACCUUCCACCCAUUAAAGAGCGCAAGAAUGGUGAGUGAGCCCAUUUAAUCAGGCCCUUGGGCCAUAACUCUGCUCCCAAGCUCCUAUUUCCUCCUCAUCCAUUAAACUACCGCCCAGAUUUGACACUGAGAAAAUAAGG